rnacentral:tRNA from 1 species
GCCCCCAUAGCUCAGCGGAUUAGAGCACUCGUCUUCGGAACGAGGGGUCGGGAGUUCGAAUCUCUCUGGGGGCGCCA